rnacentral:misc_RNA from 1 species
AAGUCGUAACAAGGUUUCCGUAGGUGAACCUGCGGAAGGAUCAUUACCAAGUUUAAUCCAAAAACACUCAACCCAUGUGCACUAUGAUUUGUCUGUCUUUGGGGUGGAAAGAAUCUAGAGGGUCUAAUAUACUUGGCCACUAGUUGAUUUCGCCCCACAUUUGUAAACAUCCUUUUUAUUUUUCUAUUGGAAUCUUACUUGUCUUAAUAAAACAAUAGACAACUUUUAACGGUGGAUCUCUUGGCUCGUG